rnacentral:rRNA from 1 species
AGCAGUGGGGAAUAUUGCACAAUGGGCGAAAGCCUGAUGCAGCAACGCCGCGUGAGGGACGACGGCCUUCGGGUUGUAAACCUCUUUUAGCAGGGAAGAAGCGAAAGUGACGGUACCUGCAGAAAAAGCGCCGGCUAACUACGUGCCAGCAGCCGCGGUAAUACGUAGGGCGCAAGCGUUAUCCGGAAUUAUUGGGCGUAAAGAGCUCGUAGGCGGUUUGUCGCGUCUGCUGUGAAACCCCGAGGCUCAACCUCGGGCCUGCAGUGGGUACGGGCAGACUAGAGUGCGGUAGGGGAGAUUGGAAUUCCUGGUGUAGCGGUGGAAUGCGCAGAUAUCAGGAGGAACACCGAUGGCGAAGGCAGAUCUCUGGGCCGUAACUGACGCUGAGGAGCGAAAGGGUGGGGAGCAAACAGGCUUAGAUACCCUGGUAGUCCACCCCGUAAACGUUGGGAACUAGUUGUGGGGUCCAUUCCACGGAUUCCGUGACGCAGCUAACGCAUUAAGUUCCCCGCCUGGGGAGUACGGCCGCAAGGCUAAAACUCAAAGGAAUUGACGGGGACCCGCACAAGCGGCGGAGCAUGCGGAUUAAUUCGAUGCAACGCGAAGAACCUUACCAAGGCUUGACAUAUACGAGAACGGGCCAGAAAUGGUCAACUCUUUGGACACUCGUAAACAGGUGGUGCAUGGUUGUCGUCAGCUCGUGUCGUGAGAUGUUGGGUUAAGUCCCGCAACGAGCGCAACCCUCGUUCUAUGUUGCCAGCACGUAAUGGUGGGAACUCAUGGAAUACUGCCGGGGUCAACUCGGAGGAAGGUGGGGAUGACGUCAAAUCAUCAUGCCCCUUAUGUCUUGGGCUUCACGCAUGCUACAAUGGCCGGUACAAUGGGCUGCAAUACCGCAAGGUGGAGCGAAUCCCAAAAAGCCGGUCCCAGUUCGGAUUGAGGUCUGCAACUCGACCUCAUGAAGUCGGAGUCGCUAGUAAUCGCAGAUCAGCAACGCUGCGGUGAAUACGUUCCCGGGUCUUGUACACACCGCCCGUCAAGUCAUGAAAGUCGGUAACACCUGAAGCCGGUGGCCCAACCC